rnacentral:rRNA from 1 species
CUUUAUUGGAGAGUUUGAUCCUGGCUCAGGACGAACGCUGGCGGCAUGCCUAAUACAUGCAAGUCGAGCGGAUUUGAAGAGAAGCUUGCUUCUCUGAUAGUUAGCGGCGGACGGGUGAGUAACACGUAGGCAACCUGCCCUCAAGCUUGGGACAACUACCGGAAAC